rnacentral:misc_RNA from 1 species
UAGGUGUGGCAAGCAGGGACACUUG